ensembl:lncRNA
AAGGGAUUUUUAUUUUUUAGAUGUAAUUAGGAAAGUUAACUUUCCUAUAAAAAUGAUCGGUCUACAAAUAUGAAUUGCAGGCCCAUGAGUGCCACAGCAUACUUUAUUCUUUUUUCUCCUUUUACAGCUGCACCUGCAGCUUAUGAAGUUCCCAGGCUAAAGGGUGGAAUGGGAGCUGCAGCUGCUGGGCUACGCUACAACCACAGCAAUACUGGAUCCGAGCUGCAUCUGCAACCUAUGCCGCAGCUGGCAGCAGCACCAGAUCCUUAACCCACUGAGCACGGCCAGGGACCGAACCAGCAUCCUCAUGGACACUAUGUUGGGUUCUUGAAUCACAACCUGCAUGGUAUAUUCUUAAGUGCACUUGUGUUAAACUAUCAGUCUCUAGGGCAUAGCUCUAGGUUGGGGUCAAAGUUUCUAGUAUGUUAUCUCUUUUUAUCAUAGGAUUGAUUCUCCUCAGGGAUGUUUUUCCCCCCUCUUCUUUGUGGAUGUUGCAAAUUGUGAAACUGAUUAGGAUCCCUUUUGGAGUUAGCUAAUAAUUGAGGGGGGUGGGGAUCUGGAUUCACCUCCAGCUAAGGAACAGAGUUUGGUAGGCUGUUUUAUUGGCCUCACUUCUUCCAAUUUGUAACUCUACCCUCCUUCCUCCUUGUCAUUUGCUUUUGUUAUCUUGUUACAUUUCACAUGUCCUAGAUAUGACUUUAAAUCCUUUUUUGGAACUAAGUAAAAUAUAUAAAUACUAAAAAUAUAAAUACCUGAGGUAUAAGCACCUUAAUACUUGUGGUAAUUAUUAAAUAAAAAGUCCAUCUGCAGUUACAAGGCCGAGAGACCUUUAAAAGCUUUUUGAAAAUCUUACAACCUUCCAUUUAAGAAUAAUGGGUGGUAGUGAAGAGAUCAGAAAGCCAAAGUAUUUAACAGUAGAGGAUUAUAGCAAAAUUAGUCGAAAAAUUAAGACUUGGCCAGAUGCUUGCCCCAAUCCUUUUUGUAUGAGUAGAUAGAUACGUAGCACUAUUACACCUGAGAAUUUAAGGAAAGCAAAUUUGCCCUCUUUAAUUUUGGAAGCUUUCUUUCCAAAUCAACACUAUUCCAAAUCAGUAUCUUGUAGUGGUUAAGAAGGUGGGCUCUGAAGCCAGGACACCUGGUUUCAAAUCCCAGUCCACCAUUAGGGCUGUGUGAACUUUGGGCAACUUAUUUGUUUUCUUCACUUGAAAAAUGGUGUCGGAGUUCCCGUUGUGGCGCAGUGAUUAAUGAAUCCGACUAGGAACCAUGAGGUUUCGGGUUAGAUCCCUGGCCUUGCUCAAUGGGUCAGGGAUUCAACCGGCAACUUCAUGGUCCCUAGUUGAAUUCGUUUCCACUGCGCCACAACGGGAAUUCCAUCGUGCAGUAAGUUUUAAACAGCACAAAUCGUGUAAAAACCAACACACAACUACACCCUUUUGCUCUUAUGGCUUCACACUUAUCAAAGAAAAGCUCCUAGACAUUACCAAAAUAGGAAAAAUUCUUUAAAGUGCCAGACCUGUCACAAAUUUAAUGUAGAUCAAAUGUAGCAGCUUAUCACAAUCUCGUCUUAAAAUAAUGAAAACAUAUACGGCGUGAAAACAAUAGGUACACUUUGCAGUCCCAUUAGCCGGAGUCAGUCCCACAUGGGAAGGAGUAGGAGUGAAGAAAAGCGUGACAACUGCUUUAGUCCCACUGGAUCCUUCGCUCUUCUUCCGGAAGAAUGCUCCAGUUUGGGGAGGCCACAUCCCGGGCCAGCCAGUUGAAAUCGUCAACGUCGUUCCAGUUAUUUUUGCUCCUAUCUAAACCAGAGCCCUCAAAGUCCUUGUCGAUCCCCGGGUAGCUCCAGGUGUAGGGGGCGAACUGGAUCCCCGUGCAGUCCUCCACGAUGGCCCUGCUGGUCACCAGCAGGAAGACGCGGGUGUCUUUUGUGGUGUGUACGCGGAGCUGCUGGCAGGCCACAGCCAGCACGCAGUCACUGCAGUCCUCCAGGAACACAGAGGUGGACACGGGGCCGCAGAGCAGCGUGCAGCCUCGGGCCUUGGUUAGCCGCAGAGUAUUGGGAUUGCCAUACAAUUUGAUCGUGCAAUUACUCAGUUGGGUCAAAAGGACGUCGCGCUGGUGCAGCUCGUCGGCUCUCUUCUCCAAGACUUCGGACUGCAGGUUGGAGAAGCCGCAGACCCAGCUGGAGUCGAAGCCUCCCUCCUCCUUCAAGGGCGGAGAGGAGGCCAGGAUGCCGUCAGCAGCCGGGGCGCCGGGAGCCGAGUCUACUUUGGUGGCUGAAGCGAUAUCCUUCCUGCGAGUCUUGAAAGCGAAACGCUUCUUAGGCUGCAGCUCCUGACGCCGCUUGGCCAGGGCCGCCUGCAGCCGCGCCAGCACCUCUUGUCCCUGCCGCAGAUCGUAGGCGGCCAGGAACAAAACCGAAUCGUUGAUAAGUUUCUGCAGCCCCUGUAGCCGAGCGGCCGCCUCCUCCAGCUUCUCGACGGACUCCCCGCCUUCCAGAAGCUCUUCCACGGCCGAUCGCUCCCGAGCGAAGGCGGCGGCGAAAAAGUCGCUCUUUUCCUCCUCCACCUCCUCGUUCUGCCGCUUUUGCUUCCGCCUUUCCACCUCCAGUUGCCGCUCUUGUUCUCGCCUCUGAAGCCGCUCGGGCACCAAGCUCCGGUCCCACUGGGACCCCAAGUCCCCGUUCCGCACAGCAGCAGCAGCCGCAGAGAAACUACUAUCCUCCAUCUUGACUUC